rnacentral:rRNA from 1 species
UACGAGAAUCCCGAGCUUGCUUGGGAGAGUAAAGUGGCGCACGGGUGAGUAACGCGUGGGUAACCCACCUUCGAAUCUGGGAUAACUCCGCGAAAGCGGUGCUAAUACCGGAUAAGACCACAGCCGUUUCGGCGGCAGAGGUAAAAGCUGACCUCUCCAUGGAAGUUAGCGUUCGAGGACGGGCCCGCGUCCUACCAGCUUGUUGGUGGGGUAAAGGCCUACCAAGGCAGCGACGGGUAGCUGGUCUGAGAGGAUGAUCAGCCACACUGGAACUGGAACACGGUCCAGACUCCUACGGGAGGCAGCAGUGAGGAAUUUUGCGCAAUGGGGGAAACCCUGACGCAGCAACGCCGCGUGGGUGAAGAAGGCUUUCGGGUCGUAAAGCCCUGUCAGGUGGGAAGAACCGUUUCGAUACUAAUAAUGUCGAAGCCUGACGGUACCACCAGAGGAAGCACCGGCCAACUCCGUGCCAGCAGCCGCGGUAAUACGGAGGGUGCAAGCGUUGUUCGGAAUUAUUGGGCGUAAAGAGCGUGUAGGCGGUCCGGUAAGUCAGAUGUGAAAGCCCUGGGCUCAACCCAGGAAGUGCAUUUGAAACUAC